GACGAACGCUGGCGGCGUGCUUAACACAUGCAAGUCGAACGGUGAACUCCGCUUGCGGGGGGAUCAGUGGCGAACGUGUGAGUAACACGUGGGCAACCUGCCCUCAGCUCUGGGAUAACUCCAAGAAAUUGGGGCUAAUACCGGAUAUGACCGCUGACCGCAUGGUCUGGUGGUGGAAAGAUUUAUCGGCUGGGGAUGGGCCCGCGGCCUAUCAGCUUGUUGGUGGGGUAGUGGCCUACCAAGGCGACGACGGGUAGCCGGCCUGAGAGGGUGACCGGCCACACUGGGACUGAGACACGGCCCAGACUCCUACGGGAGGCAGCAGUGGGGAAUAUUGCGCAAUGGGCGAAAGCCUGACGCAGCGACGCCGCGUGGGGGAUGACGGCCUUCGGGUUGUAAACCUCUUUCAGCAGGGACGAAGCGAAAGUGACGGUACCUGCAGAAGAAGCACCGGCCAACUACGUG
rnacentral:rRNA from 1 species